AAGUGUAAAAUAUAUCAUUCACAUUUAAAUUUGACCAGAUGUUUGACUAAAACAAAAGUUUGUGGGAAAUGAUUAAAACUUUAGUAAGAAACAGAUGUUUACAAUCAGCUGUUGGUAUUUAUUUAAAUUAUAAAUGAUAAAAGCAGACUUUUAUACACUUAAAUUACAAAACCUAAAAUUAAACAAACUUUCUAAAAUGUUAUUGACUCAUUAACAAGAUUCGGCAAAAUAAUCUGUCAGAUUAGAGUUUUGCUCAAAAAAGUGUCUGAUUGGUAUAGAUAGGUAGAACUUUGUGAAACAUGAAAUUAAUGUGAAAAUUAGAAACAGUGUUUGUUUUUUAACAAUUAGAAAAUUCAGGUUAUCGAUGGAAGUUCCUUUACAAAUGUUAAAAAAAUAAAAUACUAUAAAAUAAUUUCCCAGAACAAUAAACCUAAACAUAUUGGAAAAUAUGUCCUGUAAAAUUAAUAAAACUGAUAAAAGUAACAGAUGGGAACCGUCCUCAGACUGAGCCAUGAUCCUGCUGGAGUGAGUCAGCAGAUUUCCAUAGAGCAUGACUUUGCAUCAGCAGCACCAUGCUCCAGUGCUCUGGGAGAGUUUAUAGUCCUGAGAGUUGAAGACUGGAUGACUGACAGCUGUCCUUCAUCACAACAGAAGACUUGGAAAUCCUCCUGAUCAAAACCAUGACUUUGAUCUGCGUCCUCAUCUGGACUCUCCUCUGCUGCUGCUUCACAGAGUCCAGAGGUCAGGUCACAGUGACUCAGUCUGCAGCAGUGAGCUCUGCUGUGGGACGCUCCGUCUCCAUCUCAUGUAGGACCAGUCAGGAUGUCGCUGUUUAUAACAGCAAGAACCGUUUAUCCUGGUACCAACAGAAAGAUGGACAACCUCCUAAACUCCUCAUUUAUUACGCUACCAUCCGAGAAUCAGGGAUCUCAGAUCGUUUUUCAGGCAGUGGAUCUGGAUCUGACUUCACUCUGACCAUCAGUGCAGUUCAGGCUGAAGAUGCAGGAGUUUAUUACUGUCAGAGUUACCACUAUGGCGGUGUGUUCACACAGUGAAAAAGCAUCGUACAAAAACCUCUUUCAGUCUGACUGAACAGAAACUGAUGCAGCUCACUGAACACACUCAGGUUUUCAGGCCAUGUUGAAUUAAACUUUGUUCCUAAAUAAUCAGAAGUUUUAGAAAAAAUGGUUUCAAAUAUUACAAUAGAAAUUAUCUUAGUGAUGAUUAUCUUAACACCAACAACAUUUUCCAAUAAUUAUUUGCCACUUAAAUGAAGCAAAAAUCACUUUGAUUUUACAAAUGUUUUUUAUUCUGACAUGAAAUUUGAGCAAAAC